UUGGUGUGAAGAAGGUCCUGUGUUCAAUUCUCUAUGAUGGUGUGGAGACAAUAUUUUUGCUUAAAUUUUGGCUAAGAGUUGUGUUCGGGCAAAAUUCUGAGUAGUUGUGUUUUAGUGGAUUAAUAUGGAGUGAUUUUAGGAGAUAAUGGGGAGAGAUUAUCAGAAAAUAAUCUAAUUAUCUUUUUGUGGAAGAAAAAAAU
rnacentral:lncRNA from 1 species